rnacentral:rRNA from 1 species
UACGUAGGUGGCAAGCGUUGUCCGGAUUUACUGGGCGUAAAGAGCGCGCAGGCGGUCGUUCAAGUCGCGUGUGAAAGCCCCCGGCUCAACUGGGGAGGGUCACGCGAUACUGAUCGACUCGAAGGCAGGAGAGGGAAGUGGAAUUCCUGGUGUAGCGGUGAAAUGCGCAGAUAUCAGGAGGAACACCUAUUGCGAAGGCAGCUCGCUGGGACGUAACUGACGCUGAGACGCGAAAGCGUGGGGAGCAAACAGG